rnacentral:rRNA from 1 species
GACGAACGCUGGCGGCGUGCCUAAUACAUGCAAGUUGAGCGCUGAAGGUUGGUACUUGUACCAACUGGAUGAGCAGCGAACGGGUGAGUAACGCGUGGGGAAUCUGCCUUUGAGCGGGGGACAACAUUUGGAAACGAAUGCUAAUACCGCAUAAAAACUUUAAACACAAGUUUUAAGUUUGAAAGAUGCAAUUGCAUCACUCAAAGAUGAUCCCGCGUUGUAUUAGCUAGUUGGUGAGGUAAAGGCUCACCAAGGCGAUGAUACAUAGCCGACCUGAGAGGGUGAUCGGCCACAUUGGGACUGGGACACGGCCCAAACUCCUACGGGAGGCAGCAGUAGGGGAUCUUUGGAAAUGGACGAAAGGCUGACCGAGCAACGCCGCGUGAGUGAAGAAGGUUUUCGGAUCGGAAAACUCUGUUGGUAGAGAAGAACGUUGGUGAGAGUGGAAAGCUCAUCAAGUGACGGUAACUACCCAGAAAGGGACGGCUAACUACGUG